rnacentral:rRNA from 1 species
UACGAAGGGGGCUAGCGUUGCUCGGAAUCACUGGGCGUAAAGGGUGCGUAGGCGGGUCUUUAAGUCAGGGGUGAAAUCCUGGAGCUCAACUCCAGAACUGCCUUUGAUACUGCCGUGCUUGAGGACUGGAGAGGAGACUGGAAUUUACGGUGUAGCGGUGAAAUGCGUAGAUAUCGUAAGGAAGACCAGUGGCGAAGGCGGGUCUCUGGACAGUUCCUGACGCUGAGGCACGAAGGUCAGGGGAGCAAACGGG